rnacentral:tRNA from 1 species
CCGCUCGUAGCACAGUCAGGAUACUGCACCGGAUUCCGAUUCCGGGGAACGGGGGUUCGAAUCCCUUCGAGCGGACCA